GUGCAUUUCCAUUGAAAAGCCAUUGCUGAUAAACCAUGAGCUGACUGAAUUUCACUGAACUGAAUCUUUUUUGCAUGAAGAGAUGGUCAUCAACAUUCACAUUCUUCAUUAGAAAGGUUUUGAAGAUUCUCUGGAGGGUAAGUGUUGGGGUACUUCAGUCAUUGUAUGUAUGAAAUGUUGCUGCUGACCCGUUAGAGCAUCGGCGUGACUUCUAAGUUCCUGCCAAGCAAAAAGAAUAUCGCGUGAUUCGGUGUAACGAGAACAGACGGCCAGUCGAAGAACGAAUUGUCCGCGAAGCUUAGCCGGCACCAUGUGUAUCCUUCCCGCAUCGUUGAUUCUUUUCAUCCAAUACCUUCAUCCGGAAGCAAACAAGGCCCAAGGCAGGAGGAACUGGAACCUCAAAGCGAUCGUCGUUGACCACCAGUUGGUGGAAUUCACAGGCCAGUUUGAUCUGACGGCGAAUGUGAGCCCGCAGUCCUUCCGCGCCGUAAGUACGCAUUACAAACCAGAGUUUCAGUGAGCGAAAUCGCCUCCCCAGGGGAAUUUGCCAAUGCUGCAAAGUGUAAAGUUUCUUUCAAUCUACUGUAUACAAUUUAAUAUAAUCUCUACCCGGUAAUCCGGUGCUUGUCCCUGUCGAUCGUGUUUCAAGUACAAAGGAUCGACGUUGAAAGCAUCUACCACAUCAUUUGCAUUUUUCAACCUAUCGUUUAUUACCACAUAGCAGAGCAGUCAAAAUUGACUAAAAGCCAUUUGUGCGGGUUGAAGUUGAACGAAUCGGCCAACUCUAGACCAUUCAAAUGGUGGCGGUAUUCAUCGCAAAUGAAAGCUGAGCCUGUACAGUUAGAAAAAUGUUGAAGAGAAUUAAACCGGAUUUUUUUUUAGAUAUUUACCAGCAUAGGCGGCGUCAACGUGCAGCCAAAUAUUUUCAAAUUGAUGACAGACUGGGCCGAUCUCGGACAGGUCGUCGAAAGCGCAAGAAGGUUGAAUCUAUUAUACAAAGAACGGGAUGAAUCCUUUAGCUCUAUCUUCUUCCAUUGCCAAUUUUAGAGUUUCUCCUCGCAGACUGAAAAGUUCGUCACUCUGAAGAAGACGAACCCGAACGCCGGCCAGAAUUCCAGCUCUUUCCACCGAAGAAUGCGAUUGAUCUAGAAGAUACAGUAAGCAAGCAAUCGACCGACAAUUUGGCUUUCAUCGACUUCUGGAUCCAUUGCUUUCAAACGAUUGAUGGCCUUCGCUUUUGCUGCCAAGAGAGCCACAAGGGUUGCCUCACUAGCCGUUCCCUUUGGAACAAAUUCAAUUACUUUAAAUAACUUAAAAGUUAUAGUAAAAGGAACUAGGAUACUUGAAUCACGCCACCUCCUGUCCCUCCGGAACAGGCGAGAAAUUGAGAAGGAAGACCGAGUAGUUGUCCCAACCAGUCCAUCAUGACAACUUCUAGAUAAAUUGAAUUGUAUGGUGCUUACCCAAGAAAAGCCAAUGCAACCAAUAGCGUCACUCAAAAUAUCGGCUAAAAUAGCCGGCCAAGAAUUGCCAGUAGGAAAAUAAGCGUGGAAAUGAGGAGAGUGCCAGCAUAAUAACUCGUUCAACAUCUUGGAAAAUUGCUUGCCAUGGCUCCCCUUGUUCCGGUGCGGUUGCGGGUAUCAUAUCCCGAAUGUAGCCGGGUUGGACCGUCGGCAGGACACGCCUACAUGAUAACAUUUCAUCAACGACACAAGCCCACUGAGACCGCGUGAUUCCUUUAAUCAACAAAAAUGCGACUAACCUGCUGCGGAUAUUUUCCAGAUAGUCGAUGAUGAAGUCAAUCAUCUCGUGAGCAGCGGAGCGAAACUGUUGCGCAUCCAUGUUUUCAAGUAAACAAAAAGAACUUGUAAUUGAUUUCAAAUUCGAAUAGAUACAGGCGCGAGACGUCGUGAAGAUGAUGUCGUGAAGGGGAGAAAGACUUGGAGUGGGAGUGCCGAGCUUGGUCCAACUCUGGUUUUUAUACAUUUGGCUAGAGUAGGGAGGGAAAGAGGGCGGAUGCGCGCAUGUCUGUACAUUUUCAUCUUGAAAAAGAGGGAAGCGAUAGCGUAUAUAGCUACAAUAUAUGUUUAGAAUACAAUCAAAAUUGAUGAAAUUAGGUUGAGUUCAUCUCAAUGGAUUGCAUUAGCAAAGCGAAAUGCUGUGCAGUAUGGAAUAAUAAUCAAAGCGAUCGGGAUCGAUGGUUCCAUUGUACAUAAAAAGAAGCUUUCAGCUCGAAGCGAUUGGACGGCGAAAGUCAUUAAUUCAACGGCUUUUUGGAUGGCGAUGCGAUCUUGAGUGCACCUUGAUGGCUAAACAAACAGGAGAGUAUCGAGAAUGAGAGAGUAGCAACGGAUGUGCCAUCUAUCAAGCUGCCGGAAUCCUUAUUCAACCAGACGCUGUCCCUUGUUUAUGCGUAGGAUGGAGCUGCGGUUUCCAACUCCAAUGGCUGUCACAUUUGAGCGUGCAUGCUGCUGCGUGAUCAACCCUCUUGGCCGUGACAACCGUCUAAUUGCUAUUCUUAGCCAUCUUUUAUUCUCCUCUGUCGUCAUUCGCGCAGACGAAGAUCUGGAUUGAAAAUAAUUGGCUAUAUCAACGUUCCAACAUGAAAAUAAUCCUAGUCGAGUGAGCAACUAUUCCAAUAAAAGACACUGAUUGUCCCGUACAAAAGAUGUGUAACGAGCAACUCUUGUGAUCCGUACCAACGAGUCUAUUCUUCUGGAAACGAUUCUUCGCCUUUGAUUCGUUCUUGGCAUCGUCUCGCAUCGAUUUGCUGUGACACUUGUUUGCGAUGGUGGCUGAAGACGACGGUUAUAACUAUCGGAAUAGUGAAAUAUUCUCCUAGAACUUUUUUUUUAUCUGAAUGUUAAACACGAGCAGCAGAUUCAACAUGACUAACUGUUUGAUGCCAAAGUUAGUUGGAACUCAACUCACUGUGCGUACUCUAAAAAUACAGAUAACUGGUGCUGUUGCCUUUCAGCCACCGGCAGGAAAAUGAUUCUUUUCUUCAGAAAAUUGCAAGUUUAAUUUUUUGUCUUGACCCCCAACACUUUCUGUUAAUAUUAUAGAUUUUUAUGUUGAAAGAGUUAC
rnacentral:lncRNA from 1 species